rnacentral:misc_RNA from 1 species
UCAAACUUGGUCAUUUAGAGGAAGUACAAGUCGUAACAAGGUAUCCGUAGGUGAACCUGCGGAUGGAUCAUUACCGAGUGAUUUUGUUUGUAAUGUGAAUUGUUGAUUGUUUGGUUGGUGGGUUUUGUGUGCCUUGGUGUAUUUGAUGCGCUUUGGUAUGUUGAUGUGCUUUGGUAUAUUGAUUUACUUUGGUGUAUUUGAUGUGCUUUGGUAUGUUGAUUUACUUUGGUAUAUUUGAUGUCCCUUUGUAUAUCGAUGUCCCUUGGUGCUUCUCCGAUGCCCAUACACCAAAACCACCAGCCUUUGUACGUACACUAUGCAAGCCUGAGUCCAUUCACUGAAUGAUAAAACAACUUUUAGCAAUGGAUCUCUUGGCUCUCGCAUCGAUGAAGAACGCAGC